AUCCCCCACACUGGUACUGAGACACGGACCAGACUCCUACGGGAGGCAGCAGUGAGGAAUAUUGGACAAUGGGCGGAAGCCUGAUCCAGCCAUGCNGNGUGCAGGAAGACUGCCCUAUGGGUUGUAAACUGCUUUUGGACUGCCCUAUGGGUUGUAAACUGCUUUUGUACGGGAANAAACACUCCUACGUGUAGGGG
rnacentral:rRNA from 1 species